CAUACCCGCCAACUGUCACUAUUUGCAGGGGAUUCCCCCAUGGAGGCUCCCAAGUGGAAAUUUUGUAAGAGCAAUUUUGUCCACUAUUUUAAAGAAAACAAUUAAUUUAACAAUGGCUAUGAGCUUGUUAAAGCACGAAGAAACUAAAAAACCACAUUAGAAUAUAUUUGAAGGCCCCCUUGAAGGUUUUGUAGGACUAUAAGAACCAUCUUUAACGUAAAACCCCCAUUGGCAUUUUGAAAAGUUGGCAGGUAUG
rnacentral:lncRNA from 1 species